CAACGAGUCGAGUUGUUUGGGAAUGCAGCUCUAAAUGGGUGGUAAAUUUCAUCUAAAGCUAAAUAUUGGCCAGAGACCGAUAGCGCACAAGUAGAGUGAUCGAAAGAUGAAAAGCACUUUGGAAAGAGAGUUAAACAGUACGUGAAAUUGUUGAAAGGGAAGCGCUGGCAACCAGACUUGGGCGCUGUUGAUCCGCUAGGGUUCUCUCUAGGGCACUCGGCAGCGCGCAGGCCAGCAUCGGUUUGGGGGGUUGGAGAAUGGCUGGUGGAAUGUGGCUGUCUUCGGGCAGUGUUAUAGCCACCGGUGGCAUGCAGCCUCCCCGGACCGAGGACCGCGCUUCGGCUAGGAUGCUGGCGUAAUGGUUGUCAGCGACCCGUCUUGAAACACGGACCAAGGAGUCUAACAUCUAUGCGAGUGUUUGGGUGUUAAACCCAUACGCGGAAUGAAAGUGAACGUAGGUGAGAACCCGUAAGGGUGCAUCAUCGACCGAUCCUGAUGUCUUCGGAUGGAUUUGAGUAAGAGCAUAGCUGUUGGGACCCGAAAGAUGGUGAACUAUGCCUGAAUAGGGUGAAGCCAGAGGAAACUCUGGUGGAGGCUCGCAGCGGUUCUGACGUGCAAAUCGAUCGUCAAAUUUGGGUAUA
rnacentral:rRNA from 1 species